CAACGCUGAGCCUGAACGGCUUGAUUAUCUUUGAUAAUCAAUUGGUUUAGUUGUUGCGAUGUUGUGUUUGCAUAAACUCGAAUUUCGAGUUGGUAGAGUUAUCUACCAGUGUCUCGGCGCUCAGCGCUAGGACCAUACUUCCUGUAUUAUUUUGACCUGUCUGUCAAAUUUUCACACCGCCUACUUAGGCGGUGUUUUUUUAU
rnacentral:other from 1 species